ACGAACGCUGGCGGCGUGCCUAAUACAUGCAAGUUGAGCGCUGAAGGUUGGUACUUGUACCAACUGGAUGAGCAGCGAACGGGUGAGUAACGCGUGGGGAAUCUGCCUUUGAGCGGGGGACAACAUUUGGAAACGAAUGCUAAUACCGCAUAAAAACUUUAAACACAAGUUUUAAGUUUGAAAGAUGCAAUUUGCAUCACUCAAAGUUGAUCCCGCGUUGUAUUAGCUAGUUGGUGAGGUAAAGGCUCACCAAGGCGAUGAUACAUAGCCGACCUGAGAGGGUGAUCGGCCACAUUGGGACUGAGACACGGCCCAAACUCCUACGGGAGGCAGCAGUAGGGAAUCUUCGGCAAUGGACGAAAGUCUGACCGAGCAACGCCGCGUGAGUGAAGAAGGUUUUCGGAUCGUAAAACUCUGUUGGUAGAGAAGAACGUUGGUGAGAGUGGAAAGCUCAUCAAGUGACGGUAACUACCCAGAAAGGGACGGCUAACUACGUG
rnacentral:rRNA from 1 species